rnacentral:rRNA from 1 species
GACGAACGCUGGCGGCGUGCUUAACACAUGCAAGUCGAACGGAAAGGCCCUGCUUUUGUGGGGUGCUCGAGUGGCGAACGGGUGAGUAACACGUGAGUAACCUGCCCUUGACUUUGGGAUAACUUCAGGAAACUAGGGCUAAUACCGGAUAGGAGCUCCUGCUGCAUGGUGGGGGUUGGAACGUUUCGGCGGUUGGAGAUGGACUCGCGGCUUAUCAGCUUGUUGGUGGGGUAGUGGCAUACCCAGGCUUUGACGGGUAGGCGGCAUGAGAGGGUGACCGGCGACAUGGGGACUGAGAUACGGCCCAGACUCCAACGGGAGGCAGCAGUGGGGAAUAUUGCACAAUGGGCGGAAGCCUGAGGCAGCAACGCCGCGUGCGGGAUGACGGCCUUCGGGUUGUAAACCGCUUUCGCCUGUGACGAAGCGUGAGUGACGGUAAUGGGUAAAGAAGCACCGGCUAACUACGUG